UGUGUGUGUGUGUGUGUGUGUGUGUGUGUGUGUGUGUGUGUGUGUGUGUGUACUCGUUUUGGUGACAUAUGAAGACAAUUUUAUGACAACUCACCUUCAAUGUCAGGACGCUCGGAAAUAUGAGGACAUUUUUGGAGUCCUCAUUUUUCCGAGCUCACUACAGUGUUCUAGACGACCAUAGAAUGCCCCUAAACCAAAAAUCUGAAAAGUCUUUAAAUGUCACAAUCUCAUGAUUUGAAGUGUGUGUGUGUGUUUACGCUUUUUGCUCACCUGUGAAUACGCCACCUAGUGGUCAGUUUUGGAACAUUAACACACUUUAAACACACUUUAGUCACGUGACACACUUUAGUCACGUGACACACUUUAGUUACGUGACAUAUCCUGAUUUUGUUUGAGCACACUUUCCAACUAUUCAAGAUAGAUUUACUUGAAUACACAUAAUACAUGUCAUCAUAGUCAACUAUAACUAAGCUUUGGAUAAAAGAGUCUGCUAAAUGGCAUAUUAUUUAUUUAUUAUCAUAAAAUCCUCCUAAAUCCCUCAAAUAAAAACGUAAUUUAGCAUCAAUUAGCCAGAUAAGCUAAUGUUAGCAAAUUAGCUGAAAUGAAUGAAAAGGACUUUUGCCACAUGGAAAAUUCAGAACUGGAAGAAGUGCAAGAGAAAUGAAGGUAAUACAUUUAUUUUUCUUCAUUUACAACUAAAGAGAUAGUUAUUAUCUAAGCUGUUCUUACAUUUAAGUGUUCUUGACCACAAAUGUUACUUAGCACUAUCAUGUUUUUCCAUUUAAAGCCAAAGUGAUGAUAUUGGUUGUUCAGUUCAGAUAAUGUUAUUUGUAGAGUUUACAGUACUAUACUUUUAUAACAGUAUUUAUCUUUGAAGGUGUUAAGAUUGCUUACUGUGCUUACUGUGAAAAGAUUGCUAUUGUGAUUGCAGUUGCAUAAGGUUUGCACUGAUCGGUUAGCCUAAUAAGCUAACCGGAUACUGCAUUAGUAAGAACAUGAGCACGAUAUGACUAAAGGCAGACUAAUACCAUUUGAUAUAUCCUUAUUCGAUUCAAAUCAAGUAUUAGUCUUUUCUGUAUUUGUCUCGCUGACUUUUUGUCAUCCAAUGUAGAUGUUUUCUAGUUGAGGAGCACAUGGGCAAUUGAAGAGCAUAUCAAAACGAAGAGCCAGACUUAGUCCUGAGGCUGAGGCUAUUCAUUUUAUUAUUUCUGGAAGUGACAAGCCUUGUAUAAAGUCAAAUGGAUCAAUGACUAUAAAGGACGUGGUGUAUUUGCCUCAGCACCAAUUGAAAAGGGAUCCUUUGUCCUCGAGUACCGUGGGGAGUUUAUAUCGCAAUAUGAACGGGACAAGAGGCAGGGGAAGUAUACGGAAAAGCAAAAUGCUUUCUUGUUUGAUUUUGAAUGGAACAAUGGCUCAUGGUGCAUAGAUGCAUCCUGCGAAGAUGGUUCACUGGGGAGGCUGGUAAAUGAUGCCCACAGGUCCCCAAAUUGCAAAAUGAAAAAGAUGAUAGUCCAAUGUAAACCUCAUCUUUGCUUGUUUGCUAUUGAAAACAUCCAAGCAGAGAGUGAAAUAACCUAUGAUUAUGGAUAAUCUCAGUGGCCAUGGCGUGCUCUGACACCAAGUGACAAGAUCCCAGCUCAACCUUCAGCAG